rnacentral:misc_RNA from 1 species
UGUCAGCGGUUUCAAUUGAGUUAUAACAUAAUUUUGAAUUUAGUGGAGGUAGCAGUGUAACAUCCUAUUUUGAACUCGAUCACAGAUCGUUGUGAAAAUCUUAAAAUUGAGUGUAAAAUCGGUUGAUAAAUUUGGUGCGUCGAGAAUCGCCUGCGUAUUAUUAACUUCCGGUCUAAUGGCGUCAAGAAGCAAGCACUGUUGUCACAUUUUAGUCUACAGUGUUUCAACAUUUUUCUUUGUUUAUAUCAAUCGGGUUAAUACGGAAAUAAACUUCCAAUCCACUAGCGAUUAGAAGAUAUCUCGGGAAAGUGUUUAUCCACUAUCAUGGAAGUCCCAGGUGAUGAAGGAGCGCAAGCUGUCUUGCUCGGAGGAAUGGAAGGCACACAAUAUAUAACAAUACAAAGAGCAGACGCUGAAUCUCUUGGCAAAGGAGUCCCCUUGCUAACUUUAAACGGAGAAUUAAUUCCGGAAGGAAUGGUCGUUGACAUGAUUAAUGCUGGCGUUGGUUCAGAAUAUGGCAAUGCAACCCAGUAUUACGAGACUGAAGAUGAUCUUUUACCUCAUGAAUUAACAGAGGAGGAUCGUACGUUAGCUGCAGCAUUGGUUGCAGUCCAGCUGCAGCAGCAACAAAAACAACAACAAUUGCAUAACCAGCAACAUGAAGAUCCUACUCUACCAGACGUUGGACAUUUGGACUCUCUUUCUCCUGUAAAUGCAUACAUCCAAACUAUACCAGAUCCAGAUCCACCUCCAAUGUAUUCAACACUACACUCGUUAAAGAGAAUCCCUCAAAAUGUAAAGCAGGAGUUUAUCAAUGUCAAAAGCGAGUAUGAGAUUGAUAUAUCCGCGGAAAGUAGCGAAGAUGCAGCCCCUACUUCUGGGCCAAAGACAUCUUUGCCUCAUAAGAAGAGAAUUCCUAGAAAGUUGAAGCAGCAAUCUAAAAGAGUAACUGUCAGACGAAAUAAUGGGAAAUUGAGUCAGGACAUUGCUUCUGAGCAACCACCUGCUGAAGUUCAAGUUCCUGCCUUCAGAUGUGAAUUGUGUGGAUGUUCAUUUGGUGGACAGCUGAAGUUCUUUGAACACCUAAAGGCACACUAUGAACCAGUAAAACUAGAGUCUAGAAUUGCACAGGCUACAAAUACGAGUAUUACCUGUAUAUCUGUGCCAGAAACCGUCCAAAGUCUUGAAAAUACUGUAAUCGAAGAGUUUAGUGAACCUGAAGAUCUCAUGGAGGGUAUAAGGGGCGUUGUUGAGGAAACGGGAGCCCACAUUGAUGAAGAAGCUGAAGGCUCAAUAAACGAUGUCAACGGGGGAUCAACCUUGUGGUCAAUUUCUGAUGUACCGGAUCAUGGAGCACAAGAACAAGUGGAAACAACUACAAUUAAUGAGAAUGAUUUAUUGGAGAAAGAAGAAAAUGAAGUACCAGGCAACACCAAGAAAAAGAAGUCUCAGAAAAAUAGAAGAUCAAUUGAUGAGCUUGUAUGUCCUCAAUGUGGUCGAUCCUUCAAUCACAAGAAUAGUUUGGUAUAUCACAUGCGAUCUCACAGUGGCGAGCGACCUCAUCAAUGUGACGUUUGUGGAAAAAGUUUCUUUGCAGCUAGCGCAUUAAAGGUCCACAAACGGCUGCACAGUGGUGAUAAACCUUACAAAUGUGAUGAUUGCGGUCGUCAUUUUCGUCAGUGGGGCGACUUAAAAUAUCACUCGACAAGCAUUCAUUCUGAACAGAAACAGUUCCAGUGUGAAUAUUGUGGGAAAGAUUUCGCGCGAAAGUAUUCCCUAAUAGUCCACAGACGAAUUCACACUGGUGAAAAAAACUAUCGAUGUGAAUACUGUAAUAAAACUUUCAGAGCUAGCAGUUAUUUACAAAAUCAUAGACGAAUUCAUACUGGAGAAAAACCCCACCCAUGUACAGUUUGUGGAAAACCAUUCAGAGUAAGAAGUGACAUGAAAAGGCAUCUUAACACACAUUCUCGAGGUAGAUAUGAUAGGCCAGUAACUCGCCCGAACAUAACCAAAGGUUCAAUGGAAGAUGGAAAUAAAGGUUCCCAAGUCGGAACAAUUCAGAAUAGUUUAGUCGAGGAUUUGAAGCUGGAGGUCGAAGGUAAUGGAGUUGAAAUGGUUUCCUCAGAAGAUAAUCCUGAGAGUAUUUUGCCGCAUGAAGGUGAACAAAAUCUAGAUUAUCCUGUUACACGUACAACUGGUGGGGGCACGGACAGAGAUCCUUUAGAAGCAGAUGUAAGAACAUCUGAUACCCUCCAGUAUUACUUCAUCUAAUUUUGGCCAACCCAUGAUGUAUCAGAUCGAUGAGAUGAUGUGCCAAUCUAAUAGCUCUUAAAUGAAAGAAGUCUCAUCUUUUAAUUUCAUACACCAAAAAGUGCUUUGGAUGUGUUCACUGGUCAUUUCUGGACGUUCCAUACUAGAGCAACUUCAUAUAGAAGUACCCAGGUAAUAAGCUAUAUAUGCAUGAAAAAUUUGUUC